rnacentral:tRNA from 1 species
GGAUGAAUAGCUCAACGGCAGAGCGGGUGUUUGUUAGGCACCGGAUUAAAAGCCUGACUGCCGGUAGGCAGGUUCGAAUCUUUUUUCAUCCU